UGUCCCUGACCUGGGCAGAGGGACAGUUCUCAUCUCAUGCUGGCCAGGAACAAAACAACCCCUUGUUAUCCCAGCAUGGCUUUUGAGCUAAACCCAUGCUUAGUUCAUGCCUAGGAACAUGG
rnacentral:snoRNA from 1 species